rnacentral:rRNA from 1 species
UAUUGGUCAAUGGACGCAAGUCUGAACCAGCCAUGCCGCGUGCAGGAUGACGGCUCUAUGAGUUGUAAACUGCUUUUGUAUGAGGGUAAACCCAGAAACGUGUAUUGGGUUGAAAGUAUCGUACGAAUAAGGAUCGGCUAACUGCGUGCAAGCAGCCGCGGUAAUACGGAGGAUCCGAGCGUUAUUCGGAUUUAUUGGGUUUAAAGGGUGCGUAGGCGGUUUGAUAAGUUAGAGGUGAAAUGUCGGGGCUCAACCCCGAAACUGCCUCUAAUACUGUUGGACUAGAGAAUAGUUGCGGUAGGCGGAAUGUAUGGUGUAGCGGUGAAAUGCUUAGAGAUCAUACAGAACACCGAUUGCGAAGGCGGCUUACCAAACUAUAUCUGACGUUGAGGCACGAAAGCGUGGGUAGCAAACAGG